UUGAAUUUGAAUACAUGUCACUCCUAUAAAGAAAAUAGCAAUAUUGAAGGUCAAAGUUGAGACUAAGUCAAAAGAAGCAGUCUCUUUUAGAAAUUUAAUGGAGCAACAUGGAUGGCUGAGUAUGAAGUCAUAACAAGAGUGACCCUUGUCAUCCUGAAACGGAUAUUCAAGAUGCGGCUCCUUUAAGUCAUAUGGGUCGUUUCUCAUCUGCAUCAACUUGGGCUAACUUGGGUCACUUGAUAAAUAGUGUAGUGGACAAGACUUACGAGUCAAUCGAGUUAUCAGCAACUUCUUCUUAUCUCUCAUGCCUUUCAAAUGGAUUUAUCUCUGUAUCAAAGAGAAGUAAAUUACCAAAGUUUUACUGGCCAAUAACAAAUAAGAACACGCAGAAAUCGUGAAGUCAGAUACCAAAAUUAAAAUUGCGAUCGAAGAGAUGAACUCAUGCUAGUUAAAAGCAUGCAAGAGUGCAAUGUAAUAUGAAAUUUUAGGUACAUUGGAUGCAUGCAAUUGGGAAUUGGAACUGGAAUUUCUAUUAACAGAAGUAUCAGAUCUAAAUCGGAGUUCUUAUGAAAUCACACCAUCUAAAAGCUUGAGUCAUUAUGUCUAGGAGAACACUUAUAUUUAUUUCAAUUUAGUCUUUAACAUACCCCAUUUACGAGGCUGGAUUCAAUUAUAGCCUGUUUGGCAACCAUUAUUGUAGGAAAAAGAGUUUUGAAUUUCUAGGAGAAUGUGUGGUUGAAAGUAGAAAUUUUUUUUUGGUAUAUGUGUAGAAUAUUUUAUUGUGUGAAUGUGUGAUUAAUAAUGAUCCUGUAACAAACUAUAAAAUAAAUUAAUGGUUGUCAAACUUGCCUUUAAUAUCCAAGGCCUUACAUUUGAUCCAUUUUCACAAAUGGAUGACGAGAAUACUUGAACCUUUAAUAUAUCUGUACUCUAAUACCAAAUUGAACCUACGUAUCUAAAAGGUUUAGGCUUAAGAUAUACGAAUAACAAAUUUAUUUAUUUAAAUUUUAUCUUUAAACACCUUAUUACGUGCUUCGAGGAGUCAAGAAUUUCCUAAGAAUUUCUCUUCUAAUUUUAUAGUUAUAGUAGUUUUUUUUAAAGAGACAAUUCAAAGUGCUUAUUGUAUAUUUACUUGAAAGCCAACUCACGUAUCCACUUUAUUUUUAUUAUGAUGAUGUAUCG
rnacentral:lncRNA from 1 species